AGUGAACGCUGGCGGUAGGCCUAACACAUGCAAGUCGAACGGCAGCACAGUAAGAGCUUGCUCUUACGGGUGGCGAGUGGCGGACGGGUGAGGAAUACAUCGGAAUCUACUUUUUCGUGGGGGAUAACGUAGGGAAACUUACGCUAAUACCGCAUACGACCUACGGGUGAAAGCAGGGGAUCUUCGGACCUUGCGCGAUUGAAUGAGCCGAUGUCGGAUUAGCUAGUUGGCGGGGUAAAGGCCCACCAAGGCGACGAUCCGUAGCUGGUCUGAGAGGAUGAUCAGCCACACAGGAACUGAGAAACGGUCCAGACGCAUACGGGAGGCAGCAGUGGGGGAUAUUGGACAAUGGGCGCAAGCCUGAUCCAGCCAUACCGCGUGGGUGAAGAAGGCCUGCUGGUUGUAAAGCCCUUUUGUUGGGAAAGAAAAGCAGCAGGUUAAUACCCCGCUGUUCUGACGGUACCCAAAGAAUAAGCACCGGCUAACUUCGU
rnacentral:rRNA from 1 species